AGAGCCUGAGUAGCCCUCCUUGAUAAUGGCUAUCCGAAGGGAAGUCAAUGCUUCAGAGUAUACCCUGGCUGAGAGCACAAGAGUCCUUUUUGCAGAUCUACCUUUCCCAGAAGAGGAGAUAGAAACUGCAGAUCUAGAGGCUUGCCGGUGUCAGGGGUACUGACAAGAUGAUCAAAUGAAGCUAGUUGGGAAAUGUGACCUGGUUGCUGAGAGCUACCAGUAUCAGCAUCUUCCCUCCUAGCCCUUUUCCAUUUUCUUCUAGCUGCUCAGGACAAUCUUGCCCAUCACAGAUCAUGCUUACUAAUGGAAGAGGAAGAAGUGAAGGCAGACUGCUCACCAUCUCACCAUUUAGAGGUAUGCUAACAGCUCCAGCCCAUUCUACAGGUAAAUCAAAACUGCCAACCCCACAUUGGAGCAGAAAAGCAGUCCCCUGAUAAAAUAAAUUUUUGUCAACUAUGUGACAAAAGCAGGCUGGAGAAAACAAAAUGGUUACUGCCUGGUUAUCCUGCAAUACAGGUGGAAGAUUGAUUACGACAAGGUUUUGCCUGGUAUCUUGAAGGGAUCGUUCGGAACACUGCAUCUUUUACUAGCCCAGUGUCAUUCAUCUCUCAGCAUGAUGCCUUAUAGUUUGGGUAGAACCAGAGCUCCUUUAGCCAGGGUAGGAAGUUCAGCUCAAACACUCAACCCUUUACUCCCCUUCAUAAUGAUGAUGUGGAGUCAGAUUUUGGAGGGGGAAUUAGUGUUAGAUAUUUAUUUUCAGAAAAUAGAAAAAAGACCUGAGGUCAUGCUGAAUUCUGGGUUUUCAGUCUUAAAAGCUAUUAGGUUUAGAUUAUUGCUAAUUUUGAAUAUUAUGAUUUUGCAUCUUUUACAAUCUGAAGGAUAUAAAUUCCAAGUCCUAUACUUCCAUGUUUAAAUUUGAAGAUCUGUUAGCUGACUCAAGUGCAGUAUGGGAAGUCCUUGAAAGACUUUGGAAUAGCCAUUGCUUAAUCAUUCUGAUUGAAAAGCAAUGUAAAAAUUAGAAUGAAAAAAUGUCCAAUAAAAAUUGAUACUUAGUAUU
rnacentral:lncRNA from 1 species